rnacentral:rRNA from 1 species
UCUACGGGAGGCAGCAGUGGGGAAUAUUGCACAAUGGAGGAAACUCUGAUGCAGCGACGCCGCGUGAGUGAAGAAGUAUUUCGGUAUGUAAAGCUCUUUCGGCAGGGAAGACAAUGACGGUACCUGCAGAAGAAGCACCGGCUAAAUACGUGCCAGCAGCCGCGGUAAUA